AUCGCUUCUUGGCCUUUUGGCUAAGAUCAAGUGUAGUAUCUGUUUAUCGGAAACAAUGCAAGCAAGGAAAGAAUGGGAAAAUACAGUCAAAGUGUUAAAUGAAAAACAAUUUCAAUCAAGAAUAUUAUACCUGGCAAGAUUAUCCUUC
rnacentral:snRNA from 1 species